AACGAACGCUGGCGGCAGGCUUAACACAUGCAAGUCGAACGCCCCGCAAGGGGAGUGGCAGACGGGUGAGUAACGCGUGGGAACAUACCCUUUCCUGCGGAAUAGCUCUGGGAAACUGGAAUUAAUACCGCAUACGCCCUACGGGGGAAAGAUUUAUCGGGGAAGGAUUGGCCCGCGUUGGAUUAGCUAGUUGGUGGGGUAAAGGCCUAACAAGGCGACGAUCCAUAGCUGGUCUGAGAGGAUGAUCAGCCACAUUGGGACUGAGACACGGCCCAAACUCCUACGGGAGGCAGCAGUGGGGAAUAUUGGACAAUGGGCGCAAGCCUGAUCCAGCCAUGCCGCGUGAGUGAUGAAGGCCUUAGGGUUGUAAAGCUCUUUCACCGAUGAAGAUAAUGACGGUAGUCGGAGAAGAAGCCCCGGCUAACUUCGUGCCAGCCGCCGCGGUAAUAC
rnacentral:rRNA from 1 species